rnacentral:rRNA from 1 species
CGCGAACACGUUCGUACACCGGGACGCCGGCGGGGGGCGCGUCAGCCCCCCCGUCGGCGCUCCCAUGGUCGGGGGGCUCACCGGCUCCUCGACCCAAAACCGAACCCCGGCGCGAUCCGCGCCAAGGAACAAAAAACAGAAGGGCGUGCCCCCCGCUGCCCCGUUCGCGGUGCGCGCGGGGGUGCCUCGCCUCUUUCGAAACACAAACGACUCUCGGCAACGGAUAUCUCGGCUCUCGCAUCGAUGAAGAACGUAGCGAAAUGCGAUACUUGGUGUGAAUUGCAGAAUCCCGUGAACCAUCGAGUCUUUGAACGCAAGUUGCGCCCGAAGCCAUUAGGCCGAGGGCACGUCUGCCUGGGCGUCACGCAUCGCGUCGCCCCCCCACCCCGCGUCCCACUGGGUCGCGAGCGGCGGGGGGUGCGGACAAUGGCCUCCCGUGCCCCCGGGCGCGGCUGGCCCAAAAUCGAGUCCCCGACGGCGGACGUCACGACGAGUGGUGGUCGAAACAUUCCUCUUAUCACGUCGUGCGGUUCCCCGUCGCUCGGGGCGGCCAAGUGACCCUUACGCGUCGUCGUACGACGGUGCUCCGACCGCGACC